rnacentral:rRNA from 1 species
UACAGAGGUCUCAAGCGUUGUUCGGAUUCAUUGGGCGUAAAGGGUGUGUAGGUGGCGCCGUAAGUCGGGUGUGAAAUUUCGGAGCUUAACUCCGAAACUGCAUUCGAUACUGCCGUGCUUGAGGACUGGAGAGGAGACUGGAAUUUACGGUGUAGCGGUGAAAUGCGUAGAUAUCGUAAGGAAGACCAGUGGCGAAGGCGGGUCUCGUGGACAGUUCCUGACGCUGAGGCACGAAGGUCAGGGGAGCAAACGGG